UACGGAGGAUGCGAGCGUUAUCCGGAUUUAUUGGGUUUAAAGGGUGCGCAGGCGGUCUGUUAAGUCAGCGGUCAAAGCCCGGGGCUCAACCCCGGGACUGCUUUGGAAACUGCAUAGCUGGAGUGCUGGAGAGGCAAGCGGAAUUCCUAGUGUAGCGGUGAAAUGCGUAGAUAUUAGGAAGAACACCAGUGGCGAAGGCGGCUUGCUGGACAGUAACUGACGUUGAGGCUCGAAAGCGUGGGGAGCAAACAGG
rnacentral:rRNA from 1 species